GCCUACGGCCAUGCCACCAUGAACACACCGAUCUCGUCUGAUCUCGGAAGCUAAGCAGGGUUGGGUCUGGUUAGUACUUGGAUAGGAGAAAGCUUAAGCUUCAGGCA
rnacentral:rRNA from 1 species